rnacentral:rRNA from 1 species
AAUGGGCGAAAGCCUGAUCCAGCAAUACCGCGUGAGUGAUGAAGGUCUUCGGAUUGUAAAGCUCUUUUAGUAGGGAAGAUAAUGACGGUACCUACAGAAAAAGCACCGGCAAACUUCGUGCCAGCAGCCGCGGUAAUACGAAGGGCGCUAGCGUUGUUCGGAAUCAUUGGGCGUAAAGCGUACGUAGGCGGUUUAGUAAGUCGAUUGUGAAAGCCCCGAGCUCAACUCGGGAAUUGCAGCCGAUACUGCUUUACUAGAGUUUGGUGGGGGAUGGUGGAAUUCCUAGUGUAGGGGUGAAAUCCGUAGAUAUUAGGAGGAAUAUCGGUGGCGAAAGCGACCAUCUACGCCAAUACUGACGCUAAGGUACGAAAGCGUGGGGAGCAAA